rnacentral:rRNA from 1 species
UACGUAGGGGGCUAGCGUUGUCCGGAAUCAUUGGGCGUAAAGCGCGUGUAGGCGGUCCGGUAAGUCCGCUGUGAAAGUCGGGGGCUCAACCCUCGGAUGCCGGUGGAUACUGUCGGGCUUGAGUCCGGAAGGGGCGAGUGGAAUUCCUGGUGUAGCGGUGAAAUGCGCAGAUAUCAGGAGGAACACCAAUGGCGAAGGCAGCUCGCUGGAACGGUACUGACGCUGAGGCGCGAAAGCGUGGGGAGCGAACAGG